AUUGCCUCCUCCUCCUCCCUCCCCAUUGGGGGAGGACGGCGCCGCUGCCACAGAGAGCGAGACAUCCCGCGGCCAGAGAGGACGCGCCGGCAGCACCGUCGCCCGCCUCGUCUCGCCUCCUCCCGCGUUGUCAUGGCGCCCGCGGGAUGCCGGAAGCGCCGGCCGCGGCUGCCCGGGCCAACCGCCGCCUCGGGUCUCGCCGCCAUCUUCCGCCCUUCAUCGCCGCCAGCUUCCCUUCGGCUCCAGUCCCCCAAGGGCCUGCCUCUCAGCUAAUAGCUUUUCUUUCUCCUAUGAUGGGCGUAUCUGAAAUACCUAAACCCAGCAGCAGGGACAGCCCUUGUCUCACUGCGUCCCUGCGUCCAUGACCAGAGCCCGGGACGCGAUCCCGUCACCCAGCACCGACUGCAGAGCCCGGGACGCGAUCCCGUCACCCAGCACCACUGCCAAGCCCGGGACACAGCACUGCUGAAAAGUUGCUUGAGCUACUGAGCAGGCCUGGCUGUUGUUGUAACAAGUGGACAAUUUCACUUUUCUUCCUUCACGUAAACAAUUCCACACACCGAAGCGUAGCCUGCUACGAAUUCCCAAGAACUUUUAGAUGUGAGGCAGAGAGGUGCUACGGCUCGGAUGGUGCAAGAUCAGGACACGGCCAGAGCUUCCUGCUCCAUGUCACACACAGUAUUUGCAAUAACAGUGAUGGUAACAACAACAUCUGCCGGGUACAAGUCAUCAAUUAAAUAUCUCACUGGAAAGUUAAUCAUACAAAGAAAGCAGCCAAAUAUGUGCAUCAGUCCACCAAAAAGGCCAUCUACCUGUAGUGUGCUUGGAUGUUACUCUACUGUUAAAUUUGUGCUUCCCGUUUGCAUACCUCAAAGUGCUUUGCAACGCAGCUCAGUAGCAUCAUCUCCACUGUGCAGAAACAGAGACAAGAAGAGAAAAAGAAUGUUUUCCUUGCUGAAAUGUGUUCCUAGCUCUAUUGUUCUAUAAGAAAUAGAAAUUUAUGGAAAAUAUUAAUAAGAGGAUCAUUAUUGGUAAUUUAGAUUACUGUUCCUCCUUCUAGAAGAGAACUUCCAUUCACCAAAGCAUGUUGACUCUUAGAUUCUGUGUUUUUCAUUCUCAAAGGUAGUCAGGAUUAGUAGACUUCCAGAAUCAACAACAUCAUAAAAUCAUUUAGUUUUGGCUUUCUUCUUCCCUUAUGCUUCCAACAGCUUGGAAAACUUUAAAUAAAAGGCUACCAAUGUCUCUACCUGAAAAAGCACAAACUCAAAAAACCCCAGCAAAAUUCAACACACUGAGGAAAGUCAGUUAACAUUCCAUUUUCUGUAUGAUCUAAAAUACUGUGUAAAAUGUCACCCCUAAGAGUAAACCUCAUUUGGUAUGAAACUUUUUGCCUGAGAGUACAUCUCUCCAGUAGUUCAGAACUAUGCAGUCAGGCUGACAGAGAAAAUGUCAUAAAUACCUCUACUAAUUAAAAGCUGAAAACCAUGAACUCAAGACUCACAAGUUCUUGGCAGCUCAAAUAUUAGUCCAGCAAUAACUCAGUAUCAAAAGCUAAUGAUGCAGUUUACCCAGAAAUAUUUAAAUGAUAUAAUGACUUCAGUGCACACCCGAACAGAUGAUAAACGUAUGGGAUACCAUCAAACAUUUUAGACAUAACAUCUUUGAAGUUAAUUGAAACAAAUCUGUGUGUUUCAGGUGUGCUUCCUAGAUAAUCUGCAGAGCCCUAGCACAGUUUUCUGCCUUUGUAGUGGAUCUAAGAACUAUUCGUGUGUCAGGUUAGGAAAAGCAGAGCAGCCCAGUCAAUUGGGCUCUGCCAGGACAGGCACAUACAUCCUUGUCUUCCCAGCAGUCAGGUCAAACUUACCUCAGAUUCAGCAUCAGAAUAGUGUAGAUACAGGGCAUCGAACUCCUAACAGAGAGGAGAGAAAAGGUAAUUACACUUGUGUUAAUUCUUUCUUUAGUCCUUGAUCACUGUACUGGGGAAAUGGCAUGGGAAUGCAGUCAAGGAAUGUUCUUUCCAAUUAGGCCACCCAUCAUUCCUGUCAUUUUUAGUUCGUGCUCUUCUUUAUUUCUCCUGUUUUUUUCUCUCACUUUUCUCUGUCUUUGUAUCUCUUCUCCUUCCAUCUCCAUGCAUUUUACCCACCACAGUGUCAUAGACAUUUCAUUUCCUGGUUUCUUUUCCAUGUUAAUAUAAGCCAUGAAGAAAUUAAGUCUUACCUUUUGAGUAUCAUUUGUCUUUAGAUCUCUCCUCUGAGAGUAAUCAUAACGGUCUCAUAGCAAUUGUUUCAGGCUGUUACAAACUUAGCAGACAACAGUGGUUUAUUCUGAACUCUUACCUGGAAAAUUACCUUUGUCACACUGAAGGCUAGAAAUGUUGAAGCAGGUCUGAUAUCAGUGGGCACAUCUUUAUUGGUAAUUGGAUUCAGAUAAGACAAGGACGUUUCUGUUAUUCCGAUUCCUUUCCAAAUGCAGAACCUAUCAACUGCGUACAGGUGGUCAAACACACAACCUCGAUUCUCCACGGGAGAAAGUGAACCAUAUGGGAACCAAACGACGAAUGCUGUCCACAGGGUUCAGCGAGCUGUAAGGCACAGGCCUAGGCACUCACGGUCGGUGAACUAGCACACAGCGCUCUUCCCAGGGAUCACCUAUGCGCAUGGCUUCUUUCAAGCUGCUUUACUAUGCUGGAACACUAAGGGGACACUUCCCAAAUUAAGUAUAAAUUCCUUGGUAUCGAGUGACUGAAUAAUUUUCUGCAGGAUCCUAGGUGCCCCCAGGAAUGCCUAUGUUUUUAUAAGAUAUUGAACAUGAAAAAUCUGUGGCAAAAGAAAAAAAACCAGUCUGGAUUCAUAAGGAUUAGUCAGGAGUUAUAAGAAGGAAAAACAAAAAAAGCAAGAGAAAGCGUAUACAGAGUGAGUUACUACUGCUUGCCAUGUCUUCAGCAGUCAGGCACUGUGAAAACUGUAGGUAAAAUCCAGUAAGUUGAACUAUCCUAACUAGUAGUUUGCUAUUCCAUUUUACAGUCUCCAUCAGGUAAGAAAUUACAGAUUCUUUUUAAAGAACAUAUAUAACAAGAGUUACAUUACGGUACAAAUUGUGUAAUUUUCAACUGUUAUCAAGUGCUAGUUAUUUCUUAGAAAAGUUGUCUCAUGUUUUGUACAUUAAGAGUCUCAUUUUUUACAAGAAAAACAUUCAGAAAAUAGAAAAGAGUAGGGAGAAUCACAGGAUCUAUUCUAUUUCAGACUACUAUGCAGUGGAGUAUCUCACUUUGAGUUGAUUUAUUUUCCCCCCAGUGGGUCGUAUGUGCUGAUCCGAACAUUUUGUUUGGGCUUGCGGGUUCCCUCCCCUCCGCUUCCAUCCCCACGGGCAGCAUCUGCUUCUCUGCCGGCUCCGUUCCUGGCCAAGCCCCAGCACAGUGUCCUAGCAGAGGGUCAGCAAAUCACAUGCACCGGGCAGCUGCUGGGAGCCUGUCAUAGCUUCAAGGCUUCACGUACUUAGAUAUCGACUCCCCUGUGACGUGAGUCUGUCAUUGCUCCCCAGUGCCUUGCUGGCAGGGUCUCCCAUUUUGAAAAUGAAAGUGAAAAAAAGAGGAAACUCUACAAUUUCCUUACUUCGAACUGUGCCCCGAGUACGUGUUCCACAAUAUUCCCCACACAGAGCAGGAGGCAGGUUCGUCCUCUGGUAUCUCACCCUACAGUCAAGGACGACUGAGGUUAAACACUUCAUUAUUAUUCUGUCAUUAGCACCAUGAUGCAAUUCCCAGCCCACCUACAGCUGCCAAAGUGGUGUCACUGAUCACUGAACUUGUUACAAGGAAUGACAAGCACUCGGAGCUCAGGCUACUCAACAGUCUUUGCGGCAAGAGUCCUUCCUGGUUUUAAUAUUGAAUUUCCCUGCCAUGUGUUUUCUGUAUCAUCAGAACAAGGAGCAGUGAUGCAAAUAUAGGUCUGAGAACCUGGAAACGUACUGUUUAUAACAUAUAACAUUUCCAUAUGUUAAGCACAUUUUAUCUCAGAAUUAAAGUGUCCCCAAACAUUAA